GCCAGCAGGGAAACGUGCGCAGUGACGCUGACCUCCCACGAGCCCCGCUCCCAGCACUGGGCCGUGCGGGCGGUCGUGCACAUGCCCUUGGACCCUGAGCGAGUCCUGGAGGAGCUGAAGGAGAAGGAGGACAAGUUAGAGCAGCUCGGCAUCGCCAACAUCACCUACGACAAAAUGGAGAGGGAGAUGAUAAUCAACGAUGAGUUCAGCACGCC